rnacentral:rRNA from 1 species
GACGAACGCUGGCGGCGUGCUUAACACAUGCAAGUCGAACGGAAAGGCCCUGCUUUUGUGGGGUGCUCGAGUGGCGAACGGGUGAGUAACACGUGAGUAACCUGCCCUUGACUUUGGGAUAACUUCAGGAAACUGGGGCUAAUACCGGAUAGGAGCUCCUGCUGCAUGGUGGGGGUUGGAACGUUUGGGCGGUUGGGGAUGGACUCGCGGCUUAUCAGCUUGUUGGUGGGGUAGUGGCUUACCAAGGCUUUGACGGGUAGCCGGCCUGAGAGGGUGACCGGCCACAUUGGGACUGAGAUACGGCGCAGACUCCUACGGGAGGCAGCAGUGGGGAAUAUUGCACAAUGGGCGGAAGCCUGAUGCAGCAACGCCGCGUGCGGGAUGACGGCCUUCGGGUUGUAAACCGCUUUCGCCUGUGACGAAGCGUGAGUGACGGUAAUGGGUAAAGAAGCACCGGCUAACUACGUG